GUCUCGUAUGCCUCUCCUCAGUUGGUGUACUACAGUCUGAGUGGGCCCUCCUCUGGCCUCUUAUCCAUCAGCUGUGGCCUACUCAAAGUGCACCGCCCUGUCAGUCGGGAAGAGUUCACCAACAUCACUGUACUGUGGUGGGCCAAAUAAAUGCUACUGAUAUGCAUGAGCCCAACACUCCUCAUACAAAGAUCAGAUAUGCCCUGCUGUCAGGAACAGAGCUCUUCAACAUGGAGAAUCAUCACCACUAACUCAGCCAUGCUGGACAGAGAGACACAGGAGGACAAACAUCUGGUCUCAGACACAGGACAAACAUCUGGUCUCAGACACAGGACAAACAUCUGGCCUCAGACACAGGACAAACAUCUGGCCUCAGACACAGGACAAACAUCUGGCCUCAGACACAGGACAAACAUCUGGUUGUGGUGGAAAUUUGAGACAUGGAUGGGGCACACAAUGGUCUGGCAAACACAGUGACUGCUACAGUCAUGAUGACCGAUGAAAAUGACAAUCCACCUACCUUCAGACAGUCAGACAACUGUGAAUGAAAAUGAUGAAUAAUUGUUUCUUUGUCCUUUCUGAAGGUAAACGGCAGCGCUGCAACUCGCCAACCUGCUGAAAACACACCAGGCAUGAGAACAUUUGGAAGUUCGAGGCUAGAGUAUUGGAGAUCCAAGCAGGUGUACAAAUCCUGGGUAUUCCAGUGGAUGAUAAGGAUCAGAGGGGGAGCCCCAACUGGAUCGAAAGGAAACGAGAGCAGACAUUUUAGGGUGGAAACAGACCCUCAUACCAAUGAGGGGCUGCUGGUUAUUGUGAAGCCUCUUGACUAUGUGCAGGUCAGGCAGGUGGUGCUGGAGCUAGCGGCUGUGGCAGCAGGGCCUUGGCCAGACAGCGGGUGUUUGUGGAGCUCAGUGUGGUGGAUGUGGACGAGUGGCCCGAGUUCUUUGUUAGUACUCUCAUCAGAGUCCCGAGACCCGGAGCAGCAAAUGCAUGAGGUUCUGCUGUGUGUGUGUGUUUGCAUGUGUGUGUGUCUGUGUCUGUGUAUUUGUGUGUAUGUGUGUGUGUGUUUUUUGUGCUCAUAUAUACAUCUGGCUGUGAUUAUGCAUAGGGUGUCAUGUUGAUAAUGUUACGACUGGUGGGUGAUGUGAAGGACUCAAUUGCACGACUCAGCACAGGGGUAGAUCGAAAGGGUGAAACGUUUUACUAGCCGAGUUCGGUACACAGGUAGGCAGUCCAAGAAUAGCAAACAAAUCCAGACAGGGAAUAGGCAGGAGAAUAGUUGUAGGGCAGGCAGAGGUCAGAAGCACGAGUAAUCACUUCAACAACGAGAAAAGCGCUAAACGCUAGGAACACGAGGAGCAGUGGAAAAACAAGGAACAUACCAUGAAACAACAAUUUACGAAGACACAACAAGGAACAAGAACUAUAUACUACAGAUAACGAGGGACAGGUGAGAACAAUCAAGGCGGGGCAGACAAAGACACAGGUGGACUAAACAAGGGGAAUUAACAGGACACAGGUGAAACCAAUGAUACACACAACCCGGGAGAUUGGGAACAGGUGAGGGGUGGAGACACGGACAACAACAAGAGGGCACAUGGCAUAGACAAACAAACAUAGGGAAAGCACAUGGCGGGAACAAGGAAGCACGAGGACUAGACAUGGGAACAAACAUGUGACCACACAAGGGAGACACACAGAAAUUAAACACGGACAGAACACAGACCUUACAGUACCCCCCCUCUAAGGGCCGGAUUCCAGACGGCCCAAAACACAA
rnacentral:lncRNA from 1 species